GAUGAACGCUGGCGGCGUGCCUAAUACAUGCAAGUCGAGCGAACAGAUGAGGAGCUUGCUCCUCUGACGUUAGCGGCGGACGGGUGAGUAACACGUGGAUAACCUACCUAUAAGACUGGGAUAACUUCGGGAAACCGGAGCUAAUACCGGAUAAUAUAUUGAACCGCAUGGUUCAAUAGUGAAAGACGGUUUUGCUGUCACUUAUAGAUGGAUCCGCGCCGCGUUAGCUAGUUGGUAAGGUAACGGCUUACCACGGCAACGAUGCGUAGCCGACCUGAGAGGUUGAUCGGCCACACUGGAACUGAGACACGGUCCAGACUCCUACGGGAGGCAGCAGUAGGGAAUCUUCCGCAAUGGGCGAAAGCCUGACGGAGCAACGCCGCGUGAGUGAUGAGGGUCUUCGGAUCGUAAAACUCUGUUAUUAGGGAAGAACAAAUGUGUAAGUAACUAUGCACGUCUUGACGGUACCUAAUCAGAAAGCCACGGCUAACUACGUG
rnacentral:rRNA from 1 species